GAUGAAGAACGCAGCGAAACGCGAUAUGUAAUGUGAAUUGCAGAAUUCAGUGAAUCAUCGAAUCUUUGAACGCACAUGGCGCCUUCCAGUAUCCUGCGAGGCAUGCCUGUCCGAGCGUCGUUUCAACCCUCGAGCCCCCGUGGCCCGGCGUUGGGGAUCUGCCCAGGCAGUCCCCGAAAACCAGUGGCGGACCCGUUACAGGCCCUUCCCUUGCGUAGUAGCAUUCGCCUCGCAUCGGGAGCCGGCGGGCUUCCAGCCUCUAAACCCCCAUCAAGUCCGCCCCGGCGGCACCAAGGUUGACCUCGGAUCAGGUAGGAAUACCCGCUGAACUUAAGCAUAUCAAUAAGCGGAGGA
rnacentral:misc_RNA from 1 species